GAUGAAGAACGCAGCGAAAUGCGAUAAGUAAUGUGAAUUGCAGAAUUCAGUGAAUCAUCGAAUCUUUGUACGCACAUUGCGCCCGCCAGUAUUCUGGCGGGCAUGCCUGUUCGAGCGUCAUUUCAACCAUCAAGCCCCCGGCUUGUGUUGGGGACCUGCGGCUGCCGCAGGCCCUGAAAAGCAGUGGCGGGCUCGCUGUCACACCGAGCGUAGUAGCAUACAUCUCGCUCUGGGCGUGCUGCGGGUUCCGGCCGUUAAACCACCUUCAUAACCCAAGGUUGACCUCGGAUCAGGUAGGAAGACCCGCUGAACUUAAGCAUAUCAAUAAGCGGAGGA
rnacentral:misc_RNA from 1 species